rnacentral:rRNA from 1 species
GAUGAACGCUGGCGGCGUGCCUAAUACAUGCAAGUCGAGCGAACAGACGAGGAGCUUGCUCCUCUGACGUUAGCGGCGGACGGGUGAGUAACACGUGGAUAACCUACCUAUAAGACUGGGAUAACUUCGGGAAACCGGAGCUAAUACCGGAUAAUAUAUUGAACCGCAUGGUUCAAUAGUGAAAGACGGUUUUGCUGUCACUUAUAGAUGGAUCCGCGCCGCAUUAGCUAGUUGGUAAGGUAACGGCUUACCAAGGCGACGAUGCGUAGCCGACCUGAGAGGGGGGUAGGCCGCAUGGGAGAUGGGACCGGGUCAAGACACAUGAGGGAGGGGCAAGAGGGGAAUGGGACGAAGGGGGGGAAAGCAGGGCGAAACAGCGCGGCGGGAGAAACAAAGUUGUUGGGAUAGAAAAACUGUUUUUUGGGGGAAAAACAAAUGUGGAAGGAAAAGUACCGGGCGUGACGGAAAUAAGUAAAAAAGCAACGGCUAACUACGUG